GACGUAGGGCGCGAGCGUUGUCCGGAUUUAUUGGGCGUAAAGAGCUCGUAGGCGGUCUGUCGCGUCUGCUGUGAAAACUCAGGGCUUAACCCUGAGCUUGCAGUGGGUACGGGCAGACUAGAGUGCGGUAGGGGAGACUGGAAUUCCUGGUGUAGCGGUGAAAUGCGCAGAUAUCAGGAGGAACACCGGUGGCGAAGGCGGGUCUCUGGGCCGUAACUGACGCUGAGGAGCGAAAGCGUGGGGAGCGAACAGG
rnacentral:rRNA from 1 species